rnacentral:rRNA from 1 species
UCUGGCGGGGAGUGGCAUACUGCUCAGUAACACGUAGCUAACCUAACCUCAAGACGGAAAUAACCCCGGGAAACUGGGGUCAAUGUCCGAUAGAUGUGAAUUCCUGGAAUGGUAUCACAUCCAAAUGUCAGUACACCAUGUUGUACGAACGCUUGAGGAUGGGGCUGCGGCCGAUCAGGCUGUUGGUGGGGUAAUGGCCCACCAAACCUUUGACCGGUAUGGGCCAUGAGAGUGGUAGCCCAGAGAUGGACACUGAGACAAGGGUCCAGGCCCUACGGGGCGCAGCCGGUACGAAACCUCCACAAUGCACGCAAGUGCGAUGGGGUUAACUCGAGUGCUACCUGAAGAAGGUAGCUUUUCCAUGGUCUAAAUAGCCGUGGGAAUAAGGGGGGGGCAAGACUGGUGUCAGCCGCCGCGGUAACACCAGCCCCCCGAGUGGUAGGGAUGUUUAUUUGGCCUAAAGCGUCCGUAGCCGGCUAGGUAAAUUUCUCGUUAAAUCCAACGUCCUAAGCGUUGGGCUGCGAAAAAGGCUGCCAAGCUAGAGGGUGGGAGAGGUCAGCGGUAUUCCUGGGGUAGGGGCGAAAUCCAUUGAACCCAGGAGGACCACCAGUGGCGAAGGCUGCUGACUAGAACACGCCUGACGGUGAGGGACGAAAGCUGGGGUAGCGAAUCGGAUUAGAUACCCGAGUAGUCCCAGCUGUAAACGAUGCAGACUAGGUGUUGGGUUGGCCACGCGCCGACUCAGUGCCACAGGGAAGCCAUUAAGUCUGCCGCCUGGGAAGUACGGCCGCAAGGCUGAAACUUAAAGGAAUUGGCGGGGGAGCACCACCAGGCGUGAAGCCUGCGGUUUAAUUGGAGUCAACGCCGGGAACCUUACCGGGAGCGACAGCAGAGUGAAGGCCAGGCUAAAGGUCUUGCCAGACGAGCUGAGAGGAGGUGCAUGGCCGUCGCCAGUUCGUGCCGUGAGGUGUCCUCUUAAGUGAGGUAACGAACGAGACCCGCGCCGCAUGUUGCUAACAAGUCCUAAAGGGAUGUUGAGCACUCUUGCGGGACCGCAGCCGACAAGGCUGAGGAAGGUGCGGGCAACGGCAGGUCAGUAUGCCCCGAAUCUCCCGGGCCACACGCGGGCUGCAAUGGUAGAGACAGAGGGCUGCAACCCCGAAAGGGGAAGCCAAUCCCUAAACUCUACCUCAGCUGGGAUUGAG